UGUAUUUGUGGGAAGCAUGUUGAAAUGAUGAUAGCAAAUAAUGUGCGUAUCUGACUUGGAGAUGCAGAUAUAAUUGCUUCAGCGAUUGUCGUGUCCCAAUGAGUAUCGUUUUCAAGCAAAUUUAGCUCUUGGCUCUUGAAAUGUGGGGCACACGAUACCAUUAACAGUUCGCAGUGAUUCAAAUGAUGUUGGCCCUCGAACAUGUACCAGCAACAACCGCAAAUAGAAACAUUCUUCGGAUGAACUGUGUAAAUACGACCAAGAGCAUCAGUAGAACGCAUAUCUGGAUGACCAGGAACUGCAUCGUCUUGCUUCCGACGUUGAAAUUUCUUCGAUGUAGCGUUACAAGUGUAAUAACGUGGCAUUUCUGAGUAAAGAAAAGUUCGUGCGAACGGAUCGCUUUGACAAAUCGCAAAGAAACUGGUCAGUGUUGUCGCUGGAGGUGUUUCGGGGAAUGAAAAUAUACGCCAAAGUGCUUCAUUUCAGUUCACAUUUCUACCAACUUGAUAGCGAGUGAUUUCAUCGUUGGUAUUGGAUGUAACAAAUAAAUAAAACAAAUAUUAAAUAUGAUUAAACAAAU
rnacentral:lncRNA from 1 species